GCUGCCGCGGUGGAUGCACUUUUUGCUCCACUUUUGUCAUUGCCGUCGCGCAACCAUCAGUCAGUCCCGUUUGUUUCCAUCUUGGCGUGUAUGAUUCAUCGCGUCAUUCGUUCAGCCUUUUUUCGGCCUCCAGUUGCAGUGUUCUUUGGCCAUCGGUGUCCUGAUUCCGCGAGUUACCGUGUUUUUGGAUAAAUCCUGCUGUUGAGCAUCACAGGCCCUGUGCCGUUGGUUGGACCCGUGUUCGAUUUUCGAGGGGAUUCUUGAUUCGCAGAAUCUGAUCUCCCCCCAGGUUUGUGUUUGUGCGAAGCGAAGGAUGAAGUGACAUAGGAGGAAAAAAGCGAUUUUAAUAUGGUGGUGUUUUGUACAGUCAUUUUCAUUGUUCGUCAAUAGUGCGCUGGAAAAGUGAUAAGGAAACCCUUGGAAUCGAAAAGCAAUCGGGAGAAAAUUGCGACAAAACGUUGGAAACUUGGUAUCAAGUGGUGGUGCGUUGUGUAAUAGCCGUGGAUCGCUUGAAUCUUUGUGUAAAACUUUAUUUUUCGUUCCUAGUCGACUGCUAGCAGAUGCCAAAGUGAAGAAAAAAAAAAUAGUGUAGGCAAAAAAGUAUCGAAGGCAAGUGUACUGAACAAUCUGAGAGGUGCAUCAGUAUAAUCUUCUCAUUACAUCGGAUUUACUGCUACUGUAAAUCUAUUAACUAGCGAACACAUCAUCACCAUCAUGGACGGAGAAUCGGAAAAGCAGCCACUUUUGAAGCAAUCUUCCCAGUCCGGACAACCGGAUUCCGGGUCCGAACAACCAUCACAAGCGAUAGUCACGGCUUCCUCGAUUGGGCCGGAUGAAGUCCCCCCGCCAUACCAGCAAGAACAACAGAGCAGUGUCAUCGUAACGUGCCGCGUCUGUCAAGCCUUGAUUGAUAUCUCGUGGAAAAAGGAACAGCACGUCGUCAAGUGCUCACAGUGCCAUGAGGCUACGCCCAUUCGGAAUGCUCCUCCCGGUAAAAAGUAUGUCCGCUGCCCCUGCAACUGUUUGCUUAUCUGCAAGAGCUCUUCCCAGCGGGUGGCCUGCCCGAGGCCCAACUGCAAGCGCAUCAUCAACCUGGCGCCGAGUCCGGUGACGCCACCGUUGCUAUCGAUGCCCGGUAUGUGUCGCGUCACCUGUGGUCACUGUCACGAUACGUUCUUGUUUGACACAUUGAAGAACAACCUGGCCAGGUGCCCCCAUUGCCGCAAGGUUUCAUCGGUCGGUGCAGACUUUUGCCGCAAGCGGCGCAACUUGCUAUUCCUCGGGGGAUUGAUUUUCUUAGCAAUCGGUUUGGGUGUUACCUAUGGCACGAUGGCCUACGCAAAGGAUCACAGUGGAAUGUACAUUGCCUACAUCAGUCUAUUUCUGGUCGCUCUUCUCUUGUUCGCCAAGACGAUAUACUACUGUACGCUUAAAGUGAGUAACGUGGAAGGACCAAUCUAAAGUGAUUUGUCGUUUUUCGCGAGUUUGUCUUCUGCGCCGAUGUCAUCGUCUAGCCCCAAAGUUUUCUAUUUACCUAGAAUAACAGCAACAGAGAACCAACCAUUGAUAAACAUUCCUAUGAGUUAACAUCGCGAUUGAAACCGACAGUGUUUCUCCAUUUGAAAAGCUCGUUCACGCAAAGCUUGUUGUUCAUUGCUGAUGCAUAAUGAUGAUUCCCAACCCGAUACAAAAAUGCAGGUUCAUUUUGUGUUGUAAUAAUUCGAAUUAGCCACAGAUCUGGUCGGCGGCUGCAGAAGCAAUGUGGAAGCCAUAUUCAAAAGGUAAUCGUGGAUAAACGCUAGCAAGGACGAUUAGAAAAUGAUCUACGCACUCCCCGACGGUUAGUAGAUGGUGAUGAGUAGCAAUAGGGCAAAUUAUAUAAACAAAAAAUCAUCGAUACAUCCAAUAUAUAGUUAUGAUUUUCGUAUUUUUUACAUUUUUACUAUAAUUGUAAUCACUCAAUCUGAAUUUAUAUAUGCUGUAUAAAUUAAUUGGAUAAGUGCAGGAAAGCGAGGUUUCUGUUCUUUUGGUUAAGAAAAGUUAUAUUUAAUUUAAUCGUGGAAUAAACUACAUAAAAGCUGUAUGUUAAUGGAAGCACGUGAUUGAUAGUGUAAUGUAAUAAGAAGGAAAAUAAACUUGCGUAAUGUGAACAAAAAGUUGAAUCAAAAGCAAGUGCACGUCUAGACAUAACAAGACGAGUAUUACACAUUUAUACAACACAUUAUAUACGGAAUAUCAUGAUUACUUCAUACUCGAUCAACAUUUUAUUGGAUCAUUUGAUAAAGAAACAAACUUGUCUGUUUAAAACAAGGAAGAACAUCGUAAUUAAGGUGUGUUUUUUUCUAAAGAGCAAGAAUACGAACAGAUAGAACCUAUUAUAGAAACUUCAAACAUCUUUUUCAACUAAUAUUUGUUCACUCUAUGUAUGAUCUACAAACACUACGGUAGGAUUUUUGCGAUGGGAAUGAAACCAAUAAAACAAAUGGUAAAAAAGAAAUAAACUAUUCGCUUGCCUUGGACAAGAAAUAAUUUUGCGAACAAACAAAAGCGGUAUAGACAGUGGUAAACUAGAAUAUGUUGCUUUGUUGUAUGCUUGAGGUUACUUUUUAUCAGUUUUUCCCCAUUAUACUUUCAUUUGCCCUCGGAAAUGAUAUUACUACAACUAUCAAAAUGAAAAUAAUGUGCUUGAAAAAUCGCAAAACGAAAACAGAAAAAAAAUACUUCUAGGAUCCCAUUGUGCAGUUAUGAUAAAACACUAUUAUGACCCUAACGAUAUACAGAAACUACAUCUAACUACACAACAAUCGAAGAACAGACAGAAAAAAAUAAAGGAAAAUUAGGAAAAUUGUAGCGUGUUUAA